GUCCACGCUGUAAACGAUGGGCACUAGGCGUCGGGGGGAGCGACCCUCCCGGUGCCGUCGCUAACGCAAUAAGUGCCCCGCCUGGGGAGUACGGCCGCAAGGUUGAAACUCAAAGGAAUUGACGGGGGCCCGCACAAGCGGUGGAGCAUGUGGUUUAAUUCGAUGCAACGCGAAGAACCUUACCUGGGCUUGACAUGUACGUGAAAGCCGGCAGAAACGCCGGGCCUCCUUCGGGACGCGUACACAGGUGCUGCAUGGCUGUCGU
rnacentral:rRNA from 1 species